CUCACUACCGAAACUCACCGAAGGAAACAGACGCCAGUGCUCCUCCCGGGGCUGCCACCACGGCUCCGGCAGGCGGGCCGGGGACCGGCCGAACCUGAGUUGACGGUGGAGGGGCUCGGGUUAGCUAGAUGGGCGGUUGGUUAGAUGCGUAAGCGGUAGUAUGCGAGCUCAGUUCGUUGUUGCUGGUUGGCUGUCUAGUCGGCCGAUCCGUCUGCUCACCCGGCCUGCCCUUUCCUGCCUUUCGUCUGCAGCGGCCGCCAGCUCCUGCUCGGUGUCCAAAACAAAAUGGCCGCCACGUCCAGUGCUUGUCUGACCGGCUAAAAUGGCGUCUACGCAAUUACGUCAGGCGUCAGAUCCGCGCACGACUAGAGGGCGGGAAAGAUUUGAGCUACGCCUGCGCAGAGUUGAGAAGCUGAUGUCUCCUCGACUUCCAACUGGAACCUUGAACCCCCACAUUUCUGGACCUUGAGCAUUCCUCAAGUAGGAAGAUAUCCCAGAGGAGACAGACAUCGGAUGGCUGAUAAUCUUCCAAUGGAAAUCCAUGGUUCAAGUGCCACCUCUUCAGGAAAGCCAUCUGACUUCAAUCAGGCAGCAGUGGAUGGUGCAGGGGAAAGAGGUGGGAAGGAGGUCCUGGGAGGGACACUGGAUGUCUUACCCCAAGCUGGGCCUUGCAGUACCUGUGGCUGGCUGUGCUGGUUGAGCCCGAAUCGACCACGGAAAUUUGACACCUCCGGGCUUGGAAGCAGCUCUCUCCUCCUUCCCCGCUGCUUAUAAACCUCAGCCCUGAGGCUCCAGCUCACUCUACCCCAUCUCCUUGCCGGGUCAGCCCUGACAAAGGUCAGCUAGCCCCUUGAGGACAUCAGCUUUGGCCUCAGGGUCCUAAUGGCAGCAGAACCACUGACAGAGCUAGAGGAGUCCAUUGAGACCGUGGUCACCACCUUCUUCACCUUUGCAAGGCAGGAGGGCCGGAAGGAUAGCCUCAGCGUCAACGAGUUCAAAGAGCUGGUUACCCAGCAGUUGCCCCAUCUGCUCAAGGGUGUGGGUGGCUGCAUGUGUCAAUGGUUGCAGGUUUUCUUUUGUUUUUUCGAGACAAAGUCUCACUCUGUUGCCCAGGCCGGAGUGCAGUGGUGUGAUCUUGGCUCACUGCAACCUCCAUCUCCGGGGUUCAAGUGAUUCUCCUGCCUCAGCCUCCUGAGUAGCUGGGAUUACAGGUGUGUGCCACCACGCCGAGCCUAUUUCUGUAUUUUUAGUAGAGACAGGGUUUCACCAGGUUGGCCAGGCUGGUCUCGAACUCCUGACCUCAGGUGAUC
rnacentral:lncRNA from 1 species